UACUAAAUUCAAAAUUCAAAAUUGAAAAUAAAUUAAAAAUGUUUUGGCUAAUAUAUUGUUCGGAUUAUUUACAGAAUACAGUUAAUUAAUAAGUCCACUUCAAAUAAUAAAAUGAACUUGAAGAAUUAAUAUCAAAGACAAAUAUGGUGUAAUAUAUAAAUCUCGCUCCCUCUAUAAUUUUAAAAAUUAUAGAUGAAAAUAAAAAAUCUAUUAUAAAACUUUUAUUUAAAUAUUGAAGAGUACCCGAAGAGAACAAUAUGGUAAAAUUCGCUUAGAGAAAGAUAACAUGAAAGGAUUACAAGACGAAUACAUGGGAUAAGGAAUGGAAAAGGUGGGAGUGUGGGGAUGAGGGAAAGGGGAGGGGUGGGAGUAAUUUGAAACUAACCAGGAUCCAGUCGAAGAAACCUAGCCACUUCAAGGGGACGAGUCCAAAGGUCGAUUGGACUUAAAUUGGUGUGUGCAUUAUAGCAUUAUUAAUUUUAAACAGUUGAAUUGAAAACCACCUGAGGAAAAAACACUGCAUGAAGAUGAUGAAUUUAGA